rnacentral:misc_RNA from 1 species
UUAAGUUCAGCGGGUAGUCCUACCUGAUUUGAGGUCAAGAUUGUCAAAAGAGGUUUGUUUAGAAAGCAGCAUUCCAGCAGAUGUCUAGGAUGUAGAUAGUUAUCACACCUGUAGACGGUUCCACUCAAGGUACCACUAAUUAAUUUCAGGGAAGCAGACUACAACAAAGCCCACACAACCCCCCAAGUCCAAGCCACACC